GCGGAGGCUUUCCGCAGAGGGACAAAGGCGGUGGCAGGAGCAGAGGCAGCGGCAGAGAAGUGCAUUUUCACUGGCUCUCACGUUAUCAAAUAGGUCAUUCUUUUUGAACGUCCUGGUGAAGUGGAGAUGAAUGUGCAGACAUGCGACGUUUCCCCGCUGGGAGAAUGUGGAUCGCCUUCACAGGGUCAGGCUCCUUCAGACCCCCAGAAGCAAAACCGGUACCGGUGUUCAGUGUGUGGAAAGGGAUUUACUUACCCGUCCCAUUUGGAGGUGCAUUUCCGGGUUCAUACUGGGGAGAGGCCAUUUGAAUGUCCUGUGUGUCAGAAGGGAUUUUUCAAAGUUACUUACCUAACACGACACCAGCGCAUUCAUACAGGCGAUAAGCCGUUUCAGUGCAGUUUGUGUGACAAGCGAUUUUACCGGUCCUUUGAAGUAACAAGGCAUCAGCGGACACACGGUGGAGAGAAACCAUUUGAAUGUCAUGUGUGUAAAAGGCGAUUUUAUACAUCUGGUAACAUGGUGCAGCAUUUGCGAGUUCAUACCGGAGAGAAACCCUUUCAGUGUACUCUCUGUAAAAUGCGAUUCUCCAGAUCCAGCAACUUGAUUGAGCAUCUGCGCACACACACCACUGAGAAACCCUUUGAAUGUGCCUUGUGCAAAAAAUUGUUUCGAAACUCUGGUGGACUUGCAAAACACCAGUAUUUGCAUAGUGGCUUGAAACCGUUUCAGUGUCAGGUAUGUGGAAAGGGCUUUGUGCAACAGACUCAUUUGAUCAAGCAUCAAAGUUCUCAUAAUCAAGAAAAGAUCUGAAACCAAUGGCACACGGAAAGGAAAUGCGUAGUUAACACACAUCGUAUAUUAAUAUUCAUUGGCGUACAAAAAAAGGCUGACUGACCUGAAUGAAGUUGGAAAGACACAGGCAUUGAAGUGCAUGUGCAUAUACAGAUGAACACACAAAUUGGAUAAAGACUAAUGCACUUAUAGCACGCAUUGAUAUUGUCACAAAGACAUACGCAGCAUUUAAAAUUAUGGGGAAGGGUUGGACUUGGGGGAAUUUGAUUUGACUGGGAGGUACAUUCGGGAAUAUUGCAGAAUGUAGAGAAGGCCAUUCUGCUGUUUGUGUGCCAGGUCUUUGGUCGUUCCAUCCAAUCAGUCUCUGCACAUUGUUAGCCAGAUCUUUCCCCCAUUAUUUUAUGCUUCUUUGAGAAGGACAAUCUUGUUAGUAUUUUUGAUUUGCAUUUUAGGAUUUUAAAGCUAUGCAGUUUAACCUUACUAGUCGAUAUAGGGAUUAUAUCAAUGAUAUGCGUGUGUUGCAGCUGAAGCUAGCAUUUAUUGUUCAUCCUAGUUGCCUUGAAGGUGGUGGUGGACCCACCAUCUUUCAGUCCUAGUUCUGUUUUCAUUAGUUUUAUUAGACCACUUCAGAGGAGAAUUGAAGUUCAGUCAUAUUUCUGAAGUCAUUUGGGCUAUAUUGGAAAUUAUAGUUAUGAACCUGGGUGAUAUUUUUGCAUCAUCGUUAGCCAUGGGUGAGGUCCUGGAAGACUGUAGGGUAGCAAAUGGUGCCAUUAUUCAAGAAGGGCUGCAAAGAAAAUCCUGGGAACUAUAGACCAGUAAGCAUAUUAUCUGUGUGGGUAAGUUACUCAAUAUACAUGCAUUUGUUAGAUUAGGAGUAGUCAGCAUGGUUUUGUAAGUAGGAGAUCAUGUCUCUCAAAUGUGUUAGAGUUCUUCGAUGAAGUAACCAGGAAGGUUGUCGAGGGCUGGGCAGUAAGGGUAGUCUAUAUGGAGUCAAAAAGUGUGGUGCAGGAAAAACGCAGCAGGUCAGGAAACAUCCGAUGAGCAAGAGAGUCAAUGUUUCAGGCAUAAGCCCUUCAUCAGGAAUGUCCUGCUCCUGGGACACUGCCUGACCUGUUGUGCUUUUCCAGUGCCACACUUUUUGACUGACUCUCCAGCAUCUGCAGUCCUCACUUUCUGCUGGUAGACUGUAUAGAUUUCAAUAAGGCCUUUGAUAAGUUCAACAUGGUAUGCUGCUGUGGAAGGUGAGAUCAUAGUGAAUCUGUGGCGAGCUGGCAAAUUGAACACCAACUUGGCUUAAUGGUAGGAAGCAGAGGGUAGUAGUGGAAGGAUACUUGUAGGACUGCAGGCCUGUGCUGAGCCCAUUAUUUUUUUUUAUCAAUAUUUAUGGUUUGGAUGAGAAUGUGCAAGGCACGAUUAGUAAGUUUGCUGAUGACACUAAAAUAAGCAGUAUUGUGGGCAAUGAGGAAGGUUAUCAGAAAUUGCAGCAGGACUUUGAUCAGCUGGGGAAGUGGGCAGAGAAAUGGCAAAUGGAGUUUAAUGUAGGUAAGUGUGAGGUCUUGCAUUUUGGAAAGUCAAAUCAAGGUAGGAGUUUCAUGGUGAACUGUAGGGCCUUAAGGAAUGUAGUGGAACAGAGGGACCAUGGAGUUGAGGUUCACAGUUCUCUGAAAUGGGAAUCACAGGUAGACAAGGCAGUGAAGAAGGCUUUUGGCACAUUGACCAUCAUCAGUCAGGGCAUUGAGUGUAGAAGUUGGGAAGAUAUGUUGCAGUUAUACAAGACAAUGGUGAGGUUGCAUUUGGAGUAUUGUAUUUAGUUUUGGUCACCUUGCAAUAGGAAGGAUGUUAUUAAACAGGAAAGAGUGCAGAAGAGAUUUACAUGGAUGUUGCCUUGACUCGAUUGUCUCAGUUAUUGGGAGAGGUUGGACAAGCUAGGACUUUUUUUCUUUAGAGCUUAGGAGACUGAGGGGGGGAUGUUGUAGAGGUCUAGAAGGUGUCCACUCACCGUGGACACAGCCUUAAAAUUAGAGGGGGUCAAUUCAGAACAGAAAUGCGGAGACAUUUCUUCAGCCAGAGAGUGGUGGGCCUGUAGAAUUCAUUGCCGCAGAGUGCAGUGGAGGCCGGGACGCUAAAUGUCUUCAAGGCAGAGAUUGAUAGAUUCUUGAUGUCUCGAGGAAUUAAGGGCUAUGGGGAGAAUGCGGAUAAGUGGAGUUGAAAUGCCCACCGGCCAAGAUUGAAUGGCGGAGUGGACUCGAUGGGCCGAAUGGCUUUACUUCCACUCCUAUGUCUUAUGGUCUUAUAGAAGAUUGUGAGAGGCAUGGAGAGAGUAAAUGCACUCAGUCGACCAAGAUUUUUGGAAUUGAGGACAACUGGGCAUCAGUUUAAGUUUAGAGGGGAAAGAAGAAAAGGGAACGUGAGAGACAACUUUUUACACAGAGGGUGGUAUGCAGAUGGAAUGCGGAAGUGUUUGAGGUGGAUACAUUUAAAAGGUAUUUGGACAAAUACAUGGAUAGGAAAGAUUUAGAAGGACAUGGACCAAGUGCAGGGAAAUGGGGUUAGCAUGAAUGGAUAUUUUGGUCAGCAUGAAUAAGGGCCUGUCUCCCUGCUGUAGGACUCCAACCAGCUGGCUUUUAUAAAUGACAGUCCAGUAGCUUAAUGCUCUCAAUUAUUGAUGCCGAUUUGUAAUGAAGGUGCUAAAGCACAGUUAAUGUUACUGUGACCUCUGAGUCAAAAAGAUUAUGCAAUCAAUUUCUAUUCCAGACCAGAUAGUCCUUACAAAAGAGUCAUAGAGGUGUACAGCAUGGAGACAGACCCUUCACUCAAAUUUGUCCAUGCUUCCCAAAUAUUCUAACCUAAUCUAGUCCCAUUUGCCAGCAUUUGGCCCAUAUCCCUCCAAACCCUUCCUAUUCAAUAACCCAUCUAGAUGCCUUUUAAAUGUUGCAAUUGUACCAGCCUCCACCACUUCCUCUGGCAGCUUAUUCCAUACACGUACCACCCUCUACAUGAAAAAGUUGCCCCUUAGGUCCCUUUUGUACCUUUCCCCUCUUAUCCUAAACCUAUGCCAUCUAGUUCUGGACUCCCCAUGCCAGGGAGUAUACUUUGUCUGUUUUUCCUAUCCAUGUCCCUCAUGAUUUCACAAACCUCUAUAAGGUCACCUCAGCCUCCGACACUUCAGGGAAAACAGCUCCAGCCUGUUCUACCUCUCCCUAUAGCUCAAAUCCUCUAACCCUGUCAAUAUCCUUGUAAAUCUUUUCUGAACCCUUUCAAGUUUGACAACAUCCUUCCGAUAGGAAGGAGACCAGAAUUGCACACAAUAUUCCAACAGUGGCAUAAUCAACAUCCUGUACAGCUGCAACAUGACCUCCCAACUCCCGUACUCCAUAUGCUGACCAAUAAAGGAAAGCAUACCAAACGUCUUCUUUACUAUACAGUCGACCUGCGACUCUACUUUCAAGGAGCUAUGAACCUGCACUCCAUGGUGUCUUUGUUCAGUAACACUUCCAUUAAGUGUACAAGUCCUGCUAAGAUUUGCUUUUCUAAAAUGCAGCACCUCACAUUUAUCUCAAUUAAACUAAAUAUGCCUCCUAUGUUCACAUCCAAGUCAUUUAAAUAAAUGACGAAAAGUAGUUGAUCCAGCACUGAUCCUUGUGGCACUCUACUAGUCACAGGCCACCAGUCUGAAAAGCAACCCUCCACCUGCACCUCUGUCUUCUGCCUUCGAGCCAGUUCUGUAUCCAGAUGGCUAAUUCUCUUUGUAUUCCAUGCAAUGUAACCUUGCUAACCAGUCUCCCAAGGGAAACCUUGCCAAACAUCUUACUGAAGCCCUUAUAGAUCCCCUUACUGGGAUUGUAUUAUAGACCCCCUAAUAGUCGGUGGGAAAUUAAACUUUCCAAACGUAGACUGGGACUGCCGUAGUGUUAAGGGUUUAGAUGGAAAGUUUUUUUUUAAGUGUGUACAAGAAAAUUUUCUGAUUCAGUAUGUGGAUGCACCUACUAGAGAAGGUGCAAAACGUGACCUACUCUUGGGAAAUAAGGCAGGGCAGGUGCCUGAGGUGUCAGUGGGGAGCACUUUGGGGCCAGCGACCAUAAUUCUAUUAGUUUAAAAUAGUGAUGGAAAAGGAUAGACGAGAUCUAAAAGUUGAUGUUCUAAAUUGGAGAAAGGCCAAUUUUGACAGUAUUAGGCAAGAACUUUCAAAAGCUGGUUGGGGGCAGAUGUUUGCAGGUAAAGGGACAGCUGGAAAAUGGAAGCCUUCAGAAAUGAGAAAAUGAGUCCAAAGACAGUACAUUCCUGUUAGGGUAAAAGGAAAGGCUGGUAGGUGUAGGGAAUGCUGGAUGAUGAGAGAAAUUGAGGGUUUGGUUAAGAAAAAGAAGGAAGCCUAUGUUGCAGGAUAACCCAUGUUUUGAUAUGCCUGCUUGGAUUAAUGACCUUAUUUGAAGAAGUGGCUUGCAGGGGAAUAAUCUCUGAUAAACAUUGACCAAGACACCAACUGGUCAUUAUUAAUAAACCAGAUUAACUGUU